GACAGAGGGGGCAAGCGUUGCUCGGAAUUACUGGGCGUAAAGGGCGCGUAGGCGGGAUGGCAAGUCGGUCGUGAAAUCCUUCGGCUCAACCGAAGAACGUCGAUCGAUACUGCUGUUCUUGAGGGUUGCAGAGGAGACUGGAAUUCCCGGUGUAGCGGUGAAAUGUGUAGAGAUCAGGAGGAACACCAAUUGCGAAGGCAGCUCGCUGGGACGUUACUGACGCUGAGACGCGAAAGCGUGGGGAGCAAACAGG
rnacentral:rRNA from 1 species